UUAUCUUCUGAAAGAGAUUGUAGAGAAUUGAUCAAAGGGCCCCCUGGCUACUAAGGAAGAUGAAUGAAGAAAGGGCCCAUACAUGGACACCUACUUCAUAGUAAAAUCUGAGGACAUGAAGUAUAAAGAGGACAUUCUGAACACUUCAAGAGACAGCACCCUUAGCUAGGCAUGCAGACAGGAUCUCACUGUCACCCAGGCUGGAGUAC
rnacentral:lncRNA from 1 species